GGAGAAGACGUGGCUUUGUUCGUGGACGGGAGCAGAAUGGCUGGGAAGUUAAGGAAGUUUGGAAUGAAGGAUUGAUAUGGACUAACGAACGACUGUGGAGGUGAAGCAGGGGAGGUGAACCAGGCGCGUGGGAAAGCUUGGAUUUGGCUCUAUCUUUUUGGACAUGGGAGCAGGGGAUGAUCUUGGAUGAAGCUCACGGCUAGGGGAGACUUGAUCCUUUGAUGCGGAUGCUAAGGUUUGCUGGAAGUUGAUCUUGCUAUUGGAUAAGGAUGGAAGAGAGAGCUAGAAUCGGCUGGAAAGAGAAUGGAAUGAAGAUCUUGGACGAUGGACGUUUCUGCUCCUUGGAUUUGGAAGGGAAUGGGAUGAACGGCUGAUUGCUGGGAGGUUUGGGAUGAUUUCUGUGACGAUGGCUCUGUUUUGAAAGCGUGGGAAAAAGGAGGAGACAUGUGGGAUGAAAGGCACUGGUUGAUUUGUGAAACUCGGGCAAUUUCAUGUGGAUGGAAGACACGUACGGAGCUUGGAUGCGAACAGGGGUUAUGUUUGGGUGUGGGAAGAUGUUGGGAACGAGCUUUAUUUUGAGUGACCCAAUUCUAUUCGUGGACCCGAAUGAC
rnacentral:lncRNA from 1 species